CCUACGGGAGGCAGCAGUAGGGAAUAUUGCUCAAUGGGGGAAACUCUGAUGCAGCAACGCCGCGUGAAGGAAGAAGGCUUUCGGGUUGUAAACUUCUUUUAAGGGGGAAGAGCAGAAGACGGUACCCCUUGAAUAAGCCACGGCUAACUACGUGCCAGCAGCCGCGGUAAUACGUAGGUGGCAAGCGUUGUCCGGAUUUACUGGGUGUAAAGGGCGUGCAGCCGGAGGGACAAGUCAGAUGUGAAAUCCACGGGCUCAACCCGUGAACUGCAUUUGAAACUGUUUCCCUUGAGUGUCGGAGAGGCAAUCGGAAUUCCUAGUGUAGCGGUGAAAUGCGUAGAUAUAAGGAAGAACACCAGUGGCGAAGGCGGAUUACUGGACGAUAACUGACGGUGAGGCGCGAAAGCGUGGGGAGCAAACAGGAUUAGAUACCCGGGUAGUC
rnacentral:rRNA from 1 species